rnacentral:rRNA from 1 species
CAGUAGCCACGGUAAUACGUAGGUGGCGAGCGUUGUCCGGAAUCAUUGGGCGUAAAGGGAGCGCAGGCGGGCAUGUAAGUCUUUCUUAAAAGUUCGGGGCUCAACCCCGUGAUGGGAUGGAAACUGCCAAUCUAGAGUAUCGGAGAGGAAAGUGGAAUUCCUAGUGUAGCGGUGAAGUGCGUAGAUAUUAGGAAGAACACCAGUGGCGAAGGCGACUUUCUGGACGAAAACUGACGCUGAGGCGCGAAAGCCAGGGGAGCGAACGGGAUUAGAGACCCCCGUAGUCCCUGUCUCUUAUACA